ACGGUCCUAAGGUAGCGAAAUUCCUUGUCGGGUAAGUUCCGACCUGCACGAAUGGCAUAAUAAUGGCCACACUGUCUCCUCCCGAGACUCAGUGAAAUUGAAAUGUUUGUGAUGAUGCAAUCUCCCCGCGGCUAGACGGAAAGACCCCAUGAACCUUAACUGUAGCUUUGCAUUGGACUUUGAACCGAUCUGUGUAGGAUAGGCGGGAGGCUUUGAAGAAUGGACGCCAGUUCAUUCGGAGCCGUCGUUGAAAUACCGCCCUGAUUUGUUUGAGGUUCUAACCUGGGCCAGUAAUCCUGGCUGGGGACCGUGCAUGGUGGGCAGUUUGACUGGGGCGGUCUCCUCCUAAAGGGUAACGGAGGAGUGCGAAGGUACGCUAAUCACGGUCGGAAAUCGUGAGGAUACUGCAAUGGGAAAAGCGUGCCUGACUGCGAGACAGACAAGUCGAGCAGAUGCGAAAGCAGGUCAUAGUGAUCCGGUGGCUUCUGUAUGGAAGGGCCAUCGCUCAACGGAUAAAAGGUACUCUGGGGAUAACAGGCUGAUACCGCCCAAGAGUUCAUAUCGACGGCGGUGUUUGGCACCUCGAUGUCGGCUCAUCGCAUCCUGGGGCUGAAGUCGGUCCCAAGGGUAUGGCUGUUCGCCAUUUAAAGAGGUACGUGAGCUGGGUUUAAAACGUCGUGAGACAGUUUGGUCCCUAUCUACCGCGGGCGCUGGAAGAUUGACAGGGGCUGCUCCUAGUACGAGAGGACCGGAGUGGACGCACCUCUGGUGUAUCGGUUGUGACGCCAGUCGCAUUGCCGAGUAGCUAUGUGCGGAAGAGAUAACCGCUGAAAGCAUCUAAGCGGGAAACUUGCCUGAAGAUUAGUCUUCCCGGAGGCUUGACCUCCCUGAAGGGUCGUCCGAGACCAGGACGUUGAUAGGCCAGGUGUGGAAGCGCUGUGAGGCGUGAAGCUAACUGGUACUAAUUGCCCGUGCGGCUUGAUCCU
rnacentral:rRNA from 1 species